rnacentral:rRNA from 1 species
GAGGUGGAGAGUGGCGAACGGGUGAGUAACACGUAGGUGACCUGCCUCGAAGAUGGGGAUAACUGUUGGAAACGGCAGCUAAUACCCAAUGCACUCGAUAAUUCGGUUUAUCGAGUAAAGCGCCCCUCACGGGGAUAGCGCUUCGAGAUGGGCCUGCGGCCUAUCAGCUAGUUGGUAGGGUAAUGGCCUACCAAGGCGAGGACGGGUAGGGGGCGUGAGAGCGUGACCCCCCACACUGGCACUGAGACACGGGCCAGACUCCUACGGGAGGCAGCAGUCGGGGAUAUUGCGCAAUGGACGAAAGUCUGACGCAGCGACGCCGCGUGAGUGAUGAAGGCCUUCGGGUUGUAAAACUCUUUUAUGGGGGAAGAGGAAGGACGGUACCCCAUGAAUAAGCGUCGGCUAACUACGUGCCAGCAGCCGCGGUAAAACGUAGGGCGCAAGCGUUAUCCGGAUUUACUGGGCGUAAAGAGCGUUGAGGCGGUUCUGUAAGUUGGGCGUGAAAGCCCUCGGCUUAACUGAGGGACGCCGUCCAAUACUGCAGGACUUGAGGGCAGCAGAGGGAGGUGGAAUUCCCGGUGUAGCGGUGAAAUGCGUAGAGAUCGGGAGGAACACCAGUGGCGAAAGGCGGCCUCCUGGGCUGCUUCUGACGCUGAAUGCGAAAGCUAGGGUAGCGAACGGGAUUAGAAACCCCGGUAGUCCUAGCUGUAAACGAUGGAUGCUAGGUGUAGGAGGUAUAGAUCCCUUCUGUGCCGAAGCUAACGCGAUAAGCAUCCCGCCUGGGGACUACGG